AUGGCAAGGGCGAGGAGGACGUCACAGACGACCUCAGGAUGCUCAUCGCCAUAUACAGGCCGUUCUCCACUUGAUUUAUGUCAGGAGUCGAAUCAAAACUGUGGUUCACUGUUCACAUUGGGUCUUCUAUCUGCUGGUAAAAGAACUCAAAGCAUGCUCGACGCAAUCAGACACAUCGAUCCGACGGCGCCGGUGUACCAUUGGAAAAUCAAUAGGUGUGAUGCUUUCUUGCGGGAAGUCAUGGGAGAAAAUCUUCACAAGGAAGUGAUCCUCGCGUCGCCAAAGGAGGACGAAGGCGAUUUUGGCUGCACCGUCAUCUGUGGGAAUGAAGUUCUUCACGGAGUUGCCAACUUCAUGGUAGCCAACCAACCUUCUCUCACUUCUCUUCUUGUUUUGUAUUGCACUGCCUAG
rnacentral:rRNA from 1 species